UUGUGACCCCAGGUCAGGCGGGACUACCCGCUGAGUUUAAGC
rnacentral:rRNA from 1 species